rnacentral:rRNA from 1 species
AGCGAACGCUGGCGGCAGGCUUAACACAUGCAAGUCGAGCGCCCCGCAAGGGGAGCGGCAGACGGGUGAGUAACACGUGGGAACGUGCCUUUUGGUUCGGAACAACCCAGGGAAACUUGGGCUAAUACCGGAUAAGCCCUUACGGGGAAAGAUUUAUCGCCAAAAGAUCGGCCCGCGUCUGAUUAGCUAGUUGGUGGGGGAAUGGCCCACCAAGGCUACGAUCAGUAGCGGGUCUGAGAGGAUGAUCAGACAAAUUGGGACUGAGACACGGCCCAAACUCCUACGGGAGGCAGCAGUGGGGAAUAUUGGACAAUGGGGGCAACCCUGAUCCAGCCAUGCCGCGUGAGUGAUGAAGGCCUUAGGGUUGUAAAGCUCUUUUAGCAGGGAAGAUAAUGACGGUACCUGCAGAAAAAGCCCCGGCUAACUUCGUGCCAGCAGCCGCCGUAAUAC